UAGGGAAUCUUCCGCAAUGGACGCAAGUCUGACGGAGCAACGCCGCGUGAGUGAAGAAGGAUUUCGGUUCGUAAAACUCUGUUGUUAGAGAAGAACAGCGCAUAGAGUAACUGUUAUGCGUGUGACGGUAUCUAACCAGAAAGCCACGGCUAACUACGUGCCAGCAGCCGCGGUAAUACGUAGGUGGCAAGCGUUGUCCGGAUUUAUUGGGCGUAAAGCGAGCGCAGGCGGUCAAUUAAGUCUGAUGUGAAAGCCCCCGGCUCAACCGGGGAGGGUCAUUGGAAACUGUUUAACUUGAGUGCAGAAGGGGAGAGUGGAAUUCCAUGUGUAGCGGUGAAAUGCGUAGAUAUAUGGAGGAACACCGGUGGCGAAAGCGGCUCUCUGGUCUGUAACUGACGCUGAGGCUCGAAAGCGUGGGGAGCGAACAGG
rnacentral:rRNA from 1 species